ACUGCCCUCGGGGAAUCACUUGUUGAUGAACGAGGUGACGCUACCUGAGUCGGCCAGCAUCAACACCUCGCGGCCUUGAAUCCACGCCCAGAGCUGGAACGCCUUCGGGAACACCCCUCUCGUCAUGGCUGAUCGCGAGAUCGCCAUGACUGCAUCCUAUCUUGGCUCCUCUGGUGGUGUGUUCUAUAGAUCAGACGAUGCGUUGAUGCCGAACAGCUCCAGCAACUCCUCCACCAUGUCGAAUUGCACCGAUGUGGGGCAAACAUUCUCGUGGCCCCAGCGCUCACCGCACUUGAAGCAUAACCCCCUUGCUCUUCGAUAAUCUCAUAGGGUCUUGAUCUUUGUUGCUUCCGCCCGGGCCGUGUCGGUCCCGCGCCAACCGGUCGCCCCUUCUUGCAGUGGGUUGCGGGCCGAUGGAGGAGGAAGCGGCAGCGCUGCUGGAGGUCAAAUUGGCGCCUCUGGUGGCUGCGUCGCCGGUUGACGGGACGGCUCCAUGUACACCCCAUAUGCCACUUCUUCUUACAGUAGUGCCAAGGCACACGCAGUGUCCAGGGCUGGUGGUCGUUGCAACAUGACCACCACCCAGAUGUCCGGCCUCAGUCCGUUGGCCGGGAGGAGGCGGCGUCUAGAAGGACACCGCCAUCGUCCCCCAUUGCAGAUGGAACAAGUCAUGGUCAUUGGACCCGCGAGGUGCAUCUAUCGCGCCUUCAGCAGCACGAGGAGAUGUGCUACGAGUUGCUGGUGGUGGCGCCAUGGGAUCCAGUGCCUGGGUUCCCCCGCCGUUGGCGUCGUUGGUGUCGGGUCGCCCUUGUUGGAGUGCGGAUACAGCAUCUCCCAGAUCGGCGACGCGCCGCUCCAGAUCGGGCCGCCACGCUGCCAGGUCAUCCAGGCGGGUGGUGACUGCCGUGACGGCCAUCGUGUUGGCCUCCAUCGUGGAGGUGAGCUUGUCAGAGUAGGUCCUGGUAGCCGGAUCCAUGUGCUCCAGUUGCAGUUGCACUUGGCGAAGACUUCGUGUCUCGAUGAACUACGCCAGAACGCGCGACGGGAAGGGUGGUGGUGGCGACUGAUACCAGAUGUUGAGGAUUUGGUGCCGCUGCCCCUAGCAGGCCCAAUGGUACUACUUUCGACUCGCUGGGCGAAGCAUAUGAUUUCUACAACUUGUAUUCUUGUGAAAAAGGUUUUGGGAUCAGCUAUGGCAAAAGCCGACUGAAUGUUGAGAGGACGAAGUGCAUGGUAAACCUGGUGCGGAGAACACACGGUCCUGCCUUUGCAAAUGCCCGGCACUCAAUAGGUUGAUGCGGAUGGAGGACAAUACGUGGUAUAUUGCUGAUCCUCGGGAGAGUCACAAUCAUUCGCCCCGCCAGACUUUGGCGAGAUGAUACACUGGCAUUGCACAAGCACAUUGAUGUGUAAAGUAGAGACCUGAUAAAGGAGCUGAGGCGGAACAAUGUCAACCUUCUGAAGGUUUAUAAACAUCAUAGGCAGCUUUUUUGGAUCUAUGGAAAAUGUGUCGUUCAUUAAGAGGUAUUUGUGAAAAUCUGUGUGAAACGAUAAGCAGAAAGCAGGCAGAUGAUAAUGUGAGGAAGACGAUGGAGGUUUUUGCAAAAAUUGGGGCAAAGGAUCCACACUUCAAAUUGGAGUACAGAGUUCAGCCUGACAACGAGGGCAUGAUCAAGAACCUAAUGUGGGCAAGCGGGAGCAACAUGUUGCAGUACACAUUUUUCGGCGACAUCAUAACAUUCGGCACCACAUACAGGCCCAAUUUGUACGACAUGCCUUCGGCCUAUUUGUUGGUGUCAAUAAUCAUUUCCAGAAUGUCAUGUUGGUUAGGGUGCUUGUACAUGAUGAGCCCGCAAAGAGUUUUGAAUGGGGUUUCUCUAAAUUUCUGAGAAUGAUGGGCAGCACAGCGCCGAUGGUUGAAGUAUAUGAGGCUACAAUUUGAUAGAGAGUCGGAAGAGAAUUAUGUUUAAAGAAUUAUGUGCCUCCAGGUAAUCCAAUGCAUAUAUUUGUGGACUUGGAACAUGUAGCCACAACUUCAAUUAGCAUGAGUCGAAGGUGAAAUCUGCCAGGGCAGAGACCUUUGCAGUGGCGGAGGAAAUGUUGGAUUCCAUCAUGAAGACGGUCUGCUACAGGUUUGUUUUGAAGCUAUGAGCGGCUAGACCCGGAGGGUUAGAAUUCAGCAAGCACCUGUAGAUUGUGAUCUUAUGAACCCAAAUAGGAAAAGUGCUCUGGAACUAUCAAUGAGGGCGUUCAUAAUAAAGCGAGAUGGCAAUGUUGUGAACCCUCCCAUUGGAACAUCGUUUGAUUCUUUGGAUAAGACGAUGUGCCAAGAGCUCCAAGGAAAUUGCUGAAGUGUUUGAAAUAUGGAGUGCUCGGGCACCGGAGGAAUGUCUGCGGCAAACAUUCAGAUCCAUUUGAGGCUAGCCGAUAUUCUUUAGCAUCACUUUUAUCAAAACAGUAAGAGAAAUGUUCAUUCCUUUGCAUUGUGUUUGUAAUUUGUUCCAUUCCUGAGCUUUGUAGGCAUGCAUAACAUUAGUACAUUGUGUGUUCUUAAUUACGUGGUACCGCCGAAAGUGUGAGUUGCUUUGGUAUUUUUCUGCCCUUUGUUAGUAAACAAAUUAUGGUUCGUUGAGGAAAUUGCAAUAGUUUGAGAAAACAAUUUCAGCCGAAGACCUUACUCAUUGGGUCUCCAU